rnacentral:rRNA from 1 species
AACGUAGGGGACGAGCGUUGUCCGGAUUUAUUGGGCGUAAAGAGCGUGUAGGCGGCCUUACAGGUCAGCUGUGAAAACUCGAGGCUCAACCUCGAGACGUCGGUUGAAACCGUAAGGCUAGAGUCCGGAAGAGGAGAGUGGAAUUCCCGGUGUAGCGGUGAAAUGCGCAGAUAUCGGGAAGAACACCCGUGGCGAAGGCGGCUCUCUGGGACGGUACUGACGCUGAGACGCGAAAGCGUGGGGAGCGAACAGG